UUGUUGAUAAUUAUUGAUGAAAUUGUUCAUGAAAUUGUUCGUCGUUGGAGGUGAUCUGAUGCAGGGCGUCAUGGAUCCUGACGAUCCGUACAUGGUGUGGUACAGGCGUAUCACAUGACGUUUCAUCAACCCCAGCUACGCACCACCAUCCACACAUUACCAUCCAGCAUAUGACAUCAUUAGCGGAUAUGCGGCGGAUAUGGUGGCGAUGGUUGAUGCAUUGUCAGUCUCCCUUGAAUGCGGACCUACUAGAGCCCAGGUCGAGCAGGUGCGAGAUAUGACCUUAUUGACCCCUCGUCCAGCCAGCUGACUCCCCCACCGCCCCGAGACCCAUUCACCACCAUUACUCAUUACAGGCGGCGACGUGUCAGACGGAGGGCUGACACACAGGAGGCAGAACCUUUACCCCGAAUAAAUGAGUCGGGCUAGUAUUAUCUGUUGUAUUGCCUGUUAUUUUGUGGAAUGAUGUACAUAACACUUAUGAAAUUAAUAUGAUAAAUGUUUUUUGAAUGA